UACUCAGUCCAAUACUGGCUGCAUCUCAGUACUCAGUCCAAUACUGGCUGAGUCUCAGUACUCAGUCCAAUACUGGCUGCGUCUCAGUACUCAGUCCAAUACUGGCUGAGUCUCAGUACUCACCCAAUACUGGCUGAGUCUCAGUAGUCAGUCCAAUACUGGCUGCGCUCCAGAUAAAGUGGGGAGGUAAGGAAGCCUUUCAAGACAUGAGAUGCAGUCCGGGACUAUAUUUUAUAAUGAGAUAUAAGGCACAAACAUAUUCCCUUGUGUUGGUUUAUUAAGAGAACGUGUAGUAUCAGCAGGAUAAAGGUUGUUUACUAAGAGAACGUGUGUGUAGUAUCAGCAGGAUAAAGGUUGUUUAUUAAGAGAACGUGUGUGUAGUAUCAGCAGGAUAAAGGGUGUUUACUAAGAGAACGUGUGUGUAGUAUCAGCAGGAUAAAGGUUGUUUACUAAGAGAACGUGUAGUAUCAGCAGGAUAAAGGUUGUUUACUAAGAGAACGUGUGUGUGUAGUAUCAGCAGGAUAAAGGUUGUUUACUAAGAGAACGUGUAGUAUCAGCAGGAUAAAGGGUGUUUACUAAGAGAACGUGUGUGUAGUAUCAGCAGGAUAAAGGUUGUUUAUUAAGAGAACGUGUGUGUAGUAUCAGCAGGAUAAAGGGUGUUUACUAAGAGAACGUGUAGUAUCAGCAGGAUAAAGGGUGUUUACUAAGAGAACGUGUAGUAUCAGCAGGAUAAAGGUUGUUUACUAAGAGAACGUGUAGUAUCAGCAGGAUAAAGGGUGUUUACUAAGAGAACGUGUGUGUAGUAUCAGCAGGAUAAAGGGUGUUUAUUAAGAGAACGUGUGUGUAGUAUCAGCAGGAUAAAGGGUGUUUAUUAAGAGAACGUGUAGUAUCAGCAGGAUAAAGGGUGUUUACUAAGAGAACGUGUGUGUAGUAUCAGCAGGAUAAAGGGUGUUUAUUAAGAGAACGUGUGUGUAGUAUCAGCAGGAUAAAGGGUGUUUAUUAAGAGAACGUGUAGUAUCAGCAGGAUAAAGGGUGUUUACUAAGAGAACGUGUAGUAUCAGCAGGAUAAAUGGUGUUUAUUAAGAGAACGUGUAGUAUCAGCAGGAUAAAGGGUGUUUACUAAGAGAACGUGUGUGUAGUAUCAGCAGGAUAAAGGUUGUUUACUAAGAGAACGUGUGUGUAGUAUCAGCAGGAUAAAGGUUGUUUACUAAGAGAACGUGUGUGUGUAGUAUCAGCACGAUAAAGGGUGUUUACUAAGAGAACGUGUGUGUAGUAUCAGCAGGAUAAAGGGUGUUUACUAAGAGAACGUGUAGUAUCAGCAGGAUAAAGGGUGUUUACUAAGAGAACGUGUGUGUAGUAUCAGCAGGAUAAAGGUUGUUUACUAAGAGAACGUGUGUGUGUAGUAUCAGCAGGAUAAAGGUUGUUUACUAAGAGAACGUGUAGUAUCAGCAGGAUAAAGGGUGUUUACUAAGAGAACGUGUGUGUAGUAUCAGCAGGAUAAAGGGUGUUUAUUAAGAGAACGUGUAGUAUCAGCAGGAUAAAUGUUGUUUACUAAGAGAACGUGUGUGUAGUAUCAGUAGGAUAAAGGGUGUUUACUAAGAGAACGUGUGUGUAGUAUCAGCAGGAUAAAGGGUGUAUGGUGAGAGAACGUGUAGUAUCAGCAGGAUAAAGGGUGUAUGGUGAGAGUGUAGCACAUGGGGGAUGUGGGAAACUUACUCCUCAGCCUGAAGUGUCACCACUUGUGCAGCCGAAUUGUUAACGCUUCAAUGGCGCCGACUGGUAAGACGCUUCGGGAGGGCGGUCACGUGUGCUAGCCAAGCAGAUGUCCUGGGUUCGAGCGUCCGUGUGAGCCCGAUCAGGAGGAAGCGGUACUCGCUAAGUAAGCAGCGUCAGUUAUCAGUAUGCUGCUGUGACCUUGGUUUACCUCUAUGAACUGAACUGGAAUAGAAACGGAAUCAACUGUCAAAGGACUUCUGGCCUUUUCUCUGCUUAAAGCACAUGAUAUCAUAAUGUCUGGUAUGUGAAUAUUGAAUAAGAUAUUAUUUCAGAAAAUGUCAAGGUACAUGUAUAUAAGAAUAUUAUAUACUUUGAUGUGUCCAUCUAUUUAAAUAUAUUAACAACAGUGAACACUAACCUGGUGUUUGUUGGUUGAAGCCAAAAUAUUAACUUACUAAACAUCCUAUUUCUAUAUUGUGACUCGCAGUAAUAAUGUGAUUUAAGGUCAGAUUUGAUCGUGUACAUUCUUAUCCAAGUUGAACUGAGAUAACAGUCAUACUGCAUUGUAUAUUCAGCUUUAUGGUUUUAAUAAAAAUGUUGUCUUCUACCAUAUAAUCCUACAGCUACGGUUCCUCAGGCUACCACACAUUUUCUGUUGGUCCAGUAUGAUGUUGUGAGGGUAUAUGGAGACAGUAGGUUGAGGUAAACCCACUAUGAGGGUAUAUGGAGACAGUAGGUUGAGGUAAACCCACUAUGAUGGUAUAUGGAGACAGUAGGUUGAGGUAAACCCACUAUGAGGGUAUAUGGAGACAGUAGGUUGAGGUAAACCCACUAUGAUGGUAUAUGGAGACAGUAGGUUGAGGUAAACCCACUAUGAGGGUAUAUGGAGACAGUAGGUUGAGGUAAACCCACUAUGAUGGUAUAUGGAGAUAGUAGGUUGAGGUAUACCCACUAUGAGGGUAUAUGGAGACAGUAGGUUGAGGUAAACCCACUAUGAGGGUAUAUGGAGACAGUAGGUUGAGGUAAACCCACUAUGAUGGUAUAUGGAGAUAGUAGGUUGAGGUAUACCCACUAUGAGGGUAUAUGGAGACAGUAGGUUGAGGUAAACCCACUAUGAGGGUAUAUGGAGACAGUAGGUUGAGGUAAACCCACUAUGAUGGUAUAUGGAGAUAGUAGGUUGAGGUAUACCCACUAUGAGGGUAUAUGGAGACAGUAGGUUGAGGUAAACCCACUAUGAUGGUAUAUGGAGACAGUAGGUUGAGGUAAACCCACUAUGAUGGUAUAUGGAGAUAGUAGGUUGAGGUAAACCCACUAUGAUGGUAUAUAGAGAUAGUAGGUUGAGUUAUACCCACUAUGAGGGUAUAUGGAGACAGUAGGUUGAGGUAAACCCACUAUGAUGGUAUAUGGAGAUAGUAGGUUGAGGUAAACCCACUAUGAUGGUAUAUGGAGAUAGUAGGUUGAGGUAUACCCACUAUGAGGGUAUAUGGAGACAGUAGGUUGAGGUAAACCCACUAUGAUGGUAUAUGGAGAUAGUAGGUUGAGGUAAACCCACUAUGAUGGUAUAUAGAGACAGCAGGUUGAGGUUGACCCAUUAUGAUGGUAUAUGGAGAUAGUAGGUUGAGGUAAACCCACUAUGAUGGUAUAUGGAGAUAGUAGGUUGAGGUAAACCCACUAUGAUGGUAUAUAGAGACAGCAGGUUGAGGUUGACCCAUUAUGAUGGUAUAUGGAGAUAGUAGGUUGAGGUAUACCCACUAUGAGGGUAUAUGGAGACAGUAGGUUGAGGUUGACCCAUUAUGAUGGUAUAUGGAGAUAGUAGGUUGAGGUAUACCCACUAUGAGGGUAUAUGGAGACAGUAGGUUGAGGUAAACCCACUAUGAGGGUAUAUGGAGAUAGUAGGUUGAGGUAAACCCACUAUGAUGGUAUAUGGAGAUAGUAGGUUGAGGUAAACCCACUAUGAUGGUAUAUAGAGACAGCAGGUUGAGGUUGACCCAUUAUGAUGGUAUAUGGAGAUAGUAGGUUGAGGUAUACCCACUAUGAGGGUAUAUGGAGAUAGUAGGUUGAGGUAUACCCACUAUGAGGGUAUAUGGAGACAGUAGGUUGAGGUAAACCCACUAUGAGGGUAUAUGGAGACAGUAGGUUGAGGUAAACCCAAUAUGAGGGUAUAUGUAGACAGCAGGUUGAGGUAAACCCACUAUGAGGGUAUAUGGAGAUAGUAGGUUGAGGUAAACCCACUAUGAGGGUAUAUGGAGAUAGUAGGUUGAGGUAAACCCAAUAUGAGGGUAUAUGUAGACAGCAGGUUGAGGUAAACCCACUAUGAGGGUAUAUGGAGACAGUAGGUUGAGGUAAACCCAAUAUGAGGGUAUAUGUAGACAGCAGGUUGAGGGCUAUGUUAUGAAACCAGUUAGCCAGACUACUGAAAAGCCCACACUCGCUUUGUUAGGGCCCUGGGCUGUUCAACUCUUUGUUUAGGGCCCUGGGCUGUUCAACUCUUUGUUUAGGGCCCUGGGCUGUUCAACUCUUUGUUUAGGGCCCUGGGCUGUUCAACUCUUUGUUUAGGGCCCUGGGCUGUUCAACUCUUUGUUUAGGGCCCUGGGCUGUUCAACUCUUUGUUUAGGGCCCUGGGCUGUUCAACUCUUUGUUUAGGGCCCUGGGCUGUUCAACUCUUUGUUUAGGGCCCUGGGCUGUUCAACUCUUUGUUUAGGGCCCUGGGCUGUUCAACUCUUUGUUUAGGGCUCUGGGCUGUUCAACUCUGGUCCUGGAGGGCCGAAACACUUCUGGUUUUCAUGCUUUCCUUCUAAUCAGCGACUGUUUCAGACCUGGGACAUCAGUUGCAGGAGCGGACUGGCCAUCUGGCAUUUCAGACAAAUGCCAUAUGGGUUGGUCCAUUUUUAGCCCAGUGAGCCUGUCUAACCUUUUUUUUCUGCAAAAUGAUCAUUAUUUGGUUAAUAAUGGGGGCAUCAAGGCUAAAAAGAGUCGGUGUGCUGGUAUCGAGGAAAAAAUGGUGUUACAAAUGUCAGAGACAAUGUCUGGUCCCAGUCCGCCCCUAACCAGGUGAGUGUAAUUCAUUACCAGGUGGAAACAAAAACAAGUGUUUGGGACCUCCAGGACCAGAGUUGAAGAGCCCUCUAGGGUCUACAGUAUAUACAGUAUAACCUGAUAGUGUUUGAAGAAGACGUGAGUAAGAGUUGAGAGUUAGUGGACAGGUAUGGUCUGUGUACCUCAACACAGGAAGCUUAUCAGAUAUGGUGGAAAAAAUGGUCACAGUUCCAGUCUGCUUAAGGGGUGGCUCUCCCAUAGGCACCAAUGCAUUAGCAGCUGGGUCUGGUCUGCUUAGUUCACUGACUCUAUAUGAGCUUACCUUCUCCAGCUUCUGACCUGACCGACACUGUUGAAGUCUUUAACCAAAGAGAGCCAGGCCCUUCCUUUAAUCAACUCCAAACAGGAAAUUGGUUCAGAGUAUCCUUUCUACUGCCAUCUGUGGGUGAUUGUGUGGUAGUUUUAUCUGAACCACAGUAAAUGCCCUCUAAACUGACAUUUAGUUGUCAGUUAGUGACAGUUCAAGAUAUUACAAGAGGAAACAAUUAGGGAGGGAAAAUAAAUAACAUUGUAUACAACAAUAUCCAUUUAUUCUUUAAAUAUCUCAUAAAUACUUUGAUAUAGCUAUAUUUUAGAAUAGAUUGAGAACACAGGACAAGACAAUCAUUUGAAAUAAAUAUCUUAAGUAUAUAAUAGGAUAUAUUUCAGAGUCACACAGAGGAAAAAAUACAUGUUGAUGGAACCAUGAUUGAAUAUGAACAACUGCUGAUGUUAAUAUAUAUCUGGAGAAAUAAAAUAUCAAAAUAUAAUAUAUGUAUCUAGGCCAUAAUGUGUCACUUCCACUUUCCACCUGAGGAGUCUGGUGGGAGGAGCUAUAGGAGGGCAGGCUUCCAUUCCAGCCAUUACAAUGAGCCUGUCUUCCUAUAGCUCCUCCCACCAGCCUCCACUGCUAACCACCCCUGGGGGCCCCUGCAUUUGACACACACACUUCUGAAUAUCUCACAGCUCCACCAUACAGCAUUUUAUCUUUAUUUAACUAGGCAAGUCAGUUAAGAA